rnacentral:rRNA from 1 species
UAAUACCGGCGGCUCGAGUGGUGGCCACUAUUACUGGGCUUAAAGCGUUCGUAGCUGGUUUGUUAAGUCUCUGGGGAAAUCUUCCGGCUUAACCGGAAGGCGUCUCAGGGAUACUGGCAGACUAGGGACCGGAAGAGGUGAGAGGUACUCCAGGGGUAGGAGUGAAAUCCUGUAAUCCUUGGGGGACCACCUGUGGCGAAGGCGUCUCACCAGAACGGCUCCGACAGUGAGGGACGAAAGCUGGGGGAGCAAACCGGAUUAGAUACCCGGGUAGUCCCAGCCGUAAACGAUGUGCAUUAGGUGUAUCGGUGACCACGAGUCACCGAGGUGCCGAAGAGAAAUCGUGAAAUGCACCGCCUGGGAAGUACGGUCGCAAGGCUGAAACUUAAAUGAAUUGACGG